CCUACGGGUGGCUGCAGUGAGGAAUAUUGGUCAAUGGGCGCUAGCCUGAACCAGCCAAGUAGCGUGAAGGAUGACUGCCCUAUGGGUUGUAAACUUCUUUUAUAUGGGAAUAAAGUGCAGUAUGUAUACUGCUUUGCAUGUACCUUAUGAAUAAGGAUCGGCUAACUCCGUGCCAGCAGCCGCGGUAAUACGGAGGAUCCGAGCGUUAUCCGGAUUUAUUGGGUUUAAAGGGUGCGUAGGCGGGUUGUUAAGUCAGUUGGGAAAGUUUGGGGCGCAACCGUGAACUUGCAGUUGAUACUGGCAACCUAGAGUACAGUAGAGGUAGGCGGAAUGCGUGGUGUAGCGGUGAAAUGCGUAGAUAGCACGAAGAACUCCGAUUGCGAAGGCAGCCUGCUGGACUGUAACUGACGCUGAUGCUCGAAAGUGUGGGUAUCAAACAGGAUUAGAUACCCGAGUAGUC
rnacentral:rRNA from 1 species